GGCGGCGGGGGCAGGACACGACACGGCAGGACGCGGUGUUCUCCCGCGGUGCCGGAGGCCGCCUCCGAGCCCAGGCUGUAGGACAGGGAGGUUGAUGAGCCUACAAAUGCUAGCCAGACACCCCUGUGGAAGCAAACCAAAGGAAACUCUCAGGAACCCGGGAUGCUUACUGGAAUAAAACACAGAAAUGUGUGCUGCUGCAGCAAAGAGGGCAACAUCUUGUCGUGGACAGAUCAAUAGCAACCAGCAGACAGAUCUACAGUUCCCGCAGACUGCGAACCUCUCAGCUUUUCGUCCUACACAGUCUGAAAAUGAACACAUGCCAUUUGUUUCUAUUUUUAGCACCUGCAUUCUCGAUCCAGUAUAAGGAGAGGCCCGACAAAGGAAUUGUCUCAAUGUCACCUGGCACGAUCACUUAAAAAUGGUUUUCAUUGCAAAGGGAGGGGUAAGUAUGUCCGUGUGAUCCAUGAAAGCACAGGUUUUUCACUUCCACUUUACAGCACUCAUUUUCACCACAAUUCAACAGCUGGUGUGCACAGCCCUAAACACAGCCGGUUUGGGAAGCAGCAUCAGUACCCACUGCACAUCCCCAGCUCCCCACACUCUGUGGGUUAAAUAUUGGAUGCCAGUAGGAAACCUGCUGCAAGUCUCUUGGAGCUGCUCUAAAACCUUUGCUCAACGUCCCCAUUCACAGUGCAUUAGUAGAGACGUUGCAUAUUUCAUCCCUCUUCAAAUAUUUAUAUAUGUACUUCACGUUUGAGUAAAGCUGUCCUUUUCAUCAGAGCAGGAAGAUUACAGCAAAGGGAGGAAUUAUCCUAAACUGGCAAACAUCAUUGUCUAUUAAGUAACACAAGGGUUUGAAAGCAGAAUUGAGUGUCUGGCAGCCAGGAGCUUGGCUCCACUGCACAGGAGAUUUCAUAAUGACAUGUUUUGAGAUCAACUGUAAAAAAAAAUAAAAACAAAAAGCCAAAAAUCUAAA